rnacentral:tRNA from 1 species
GCGUCUAUAGUAUAAUGGAAUUAUGACUGGCUUCCACCCAGUAGAUGAGAGUUCAAUUCUCCCUAGACGCUCCA